GAUGAACGCUAGCGGCAGGCUUAACACAUGCAAGUCGAGGGGCAGCGCGGGGCGGCAACGUCCUGGCGGCGACCGGCGGAAGGGUGCGUAACGCGUGAGCGACAUGCCCGUUGCCCGGGGACAACCGGUGGAAACGCCGACUAAUCCCCGAUGGGACGGAGGCCCUCAUGGGUCUCUGUUGAAAGUUACGGCGGCGACGGAUUGGCUCGCGUCCGAUUAGCUAGUUGGCGGGGUAACGGCCCACCAAGGCUACGAUCGGUAGGGGUUCUGAGAGGAAGGUCCCCCACAAUGGAACUGAGACACGGUCCAUACUCCUACGGGAGGCAGCAGUGAGGAAUAUUGGUCAAUGGGCGCAAGCCUGAACCAGCCAUCCCGCGUGAAGGAAGAAUGCGCUACGCGUUGUAAACUUCUUUUCCAGGGGGAGAAUAAUCCUGUCGUGACAGGACUUGACGGUACUCUGGGAAUAAGCAUCGGCUAACUCCGUG
rnacentral:rRNA from 1 species